CGAACGCUGGCGGCGUGCUUACCACAUGCAAGUCGAACGGAAAGGCCCUGCUUUUGUGGGGUGCUCGAGUGGCGAACGGGUGAGUAACACGUGAGUAACCUGCCCUUGACUUUGGGAUAACUUCAGGAAACUGGGGCUAAUACCGGAUAGGAGCUCCUGCUGCAUGGUGGGGGUUGAAAAGUUUCGGCGGUUGGGGAUGGACUCGCGGCUUAUCAGCUUGUUGGUGGGGUAGUGGCUUACCAAGGCUUUGACGGGUAGCCGGCCUGAGAGGGUGACCGGCCACAUUGGGACUGAGAUACGGCCCAGACUCCUACGGGAGGCAGCAGUGGGGAAUAUUGCACAAUGGGCGGAAGCCUGAUGCAGCAACGCCGCGUGCGGGAUGACGGCCUUCGGGUUGUAAACCGCUUUCGCCUGUGACGAAGCGUGAGUGACGGUAAUGGGUAAAGAAGCACCGGCUAACUACGUG
rnacentral:rRNA from 1 species